CAAGAGGUAAGCUAUCAGGAAUGCGAAUCACAAAGUGCUCGUCUGCAACCAUUGAGUCGGAGUAACCUCCAUAUGUGACGGUGCCAUCACGAUACUUUGCACCACAUGUGACUGUAAAUGUUGGGCAGUAAUUCUCAAGAUCGUCAGCACAAUUUUGGCAUGAACGACAUGAAUCAACCAUGUAUCCCACACCAACUUUGUCUCCAACUUUAAACUUUUCUACUUUGCUUCCAACCUCGGUUACUAUACCCGCAAGUUCAUGCCUGCAUUUAUUAAAUAAAUUAUAAACAAAUUGAACAAUUAUUUACUACUCAUUUCUUAACAUUAUUUUGUACAAAUUAAAUUUCAAAUAUACUCUUACUUUUUAUUGACUCAUUCAACUUUUUACUCUCUCAUCAUUAAAAUAAGUACAAAGAUAUGGUCCAAGUAACGUAGAAAUAAACAAUAAUUGUAGUAGAAGGAGUUGGAAGCAUACCCUGGAACUAAUGGAUAGAUGGAAUUUCCCCAUUCAUUCUUCAUCAUAUGGAGGUCAGUGUGGCAUAUACCACAAUACAUCACCUUGAACGCUACAUCUUUCUCACCAGUUUCCCUAAAGUUUUGAUGCAUCAAGAUUGAAUUAAUUAGUAGCCAACAACAUAGAUCUAAAUUAAGUAAUAUAUAUAUAUAUAUAUAUAUAUAUAUAUAUAUAUAUAUAUAAAUAUAUAUAUAAUAUUAUUUCAAUCCAUCAAAUAAAAGAUGAGUUGAUUAAUGAAGAAAACCUUCUGGAGAAAUUGAAAGGGGAGAGAACACCAGAAGGAUCUCUAGCUGCCCAACCAAAGGCCUUCUUUGGAUGCUCUAACACUUGAGUUUCUGUUGCCAUUUCAAAUCUAUGUUAUUAUAAUUCAAUUAGCUUCUGUGGUAUUUAUUGAGAGAAUAGUACUCCUUCGGUUUCUAAAUAUAAGUAAAAUUGAUUUUUUAGGUUCAUUCAAUUAAUAAUGUAUGUGAUCCAUAAUAUAAACCAUAUACAUCAUUAAUUAAAUGAACCUAAAAAAUCAAAUUUGCUUAUAUUUAAAAACGGAGGGAGUAUAAAGUUAUGGAAUAUUUAGUACUAAGAUGUGGGAGCUACUUUGGAGAUAUUUAGAGCAUCCACAACAAUGACACCUAUUUUUGGGUUCUUAAAUGGGUCUUCACGUAUAUACAUCACUUAUUUGUAAUUUUUAAUAGUGGUACUUAAUAAUCACUCGAUCACUCCAACUUAGAUCUCACACAAAGUUGUUAAAUGGGACUCACUAAUCAACUAUCAAUAACUUUAUAUAAUUAUAUUUCAAUUUUUUAAUAUUAAAAGUGGGUCUUAAGUAAGACUCCAAGUCUUAUAAGAUUCUGAAAAAGAUUCUCCUUAUUCUAUUACAUAAUAAAUACCGGAUUUUAAAUAGUUACGACCCUACAAUACCAAAUUUUAAAUAGUUACGACCCUACAAUGGAGAUGGUCUUAUAAUGGCUAGUUGUACUUUGUUGGAUAGCACUUGUGUACCAUUAUGUUAUAUAACAUUAGUCAAGUAAGGUGUGUCAUGUGGCAUACACUUUAAAAAACAUAUAUUAAAUAAAGCAUUUAUAAAGUAACAUUGAUAUUUGAUACACUCUUAUUGAUCAAUGUUAUAUAACAUUGAUACCUUAAUGGUACACAAGUGAUGUCCGUACUUUGUCUACGCAUUUGAUGACGUUUUUUUUGAGAGAACAUUUGAUGACGUUAUCUAUAGAUUGUUGCACACAAAUCAAAUCAUAACAUAUUAUUUUUGUCAAAGCUGUGUUUACUUUUUCUUUUGUGAUUCACAUGCACUGUGAUGAAAUGAAAUGAACAUGCACUUUGUUCCUUUAUCAAAUUCAAGUGUACGGAUAUGGUUCCCUCAAAAAAAGUGUACGGAUAUAGUAGAUUAAUAAACUUUUUUUUUUUUUUUUGAGGGAUACAUUAAUAAACGUUGUUAACAGUCAUCUGUUAACCGUCAUCUAAGGACAUUUAAUAGGUAAUUCUAAUUAUGAAAUUAUUCAUUAGAAAAAUUAAAUGAUUCAAUUUUUAAUAGAUUGAAUACAUAAAUUUUUCUAAAAAUUUAAUAUUUUAGGUUAUUAAACAAUGUCUUAAAGACAAUCGGAAACAUUUUUUAUAAAUGUAUUCUUUCAAUCCUUUCAAAAACAAACAAAAAAACAUAAUGUAUUCAAAUAUAGCCGAUCCUAGUUUUUCUAGUGAGAGAAACUUCAACUUCUCUUUAAACUUUCUUUCUUCUUCAUUCAUGAGUAUGAAUGAUUUUAGGUCAUUUUUUGACAUAGAAUCACCCUCUACAUCUUUUUCCCCCUUUUCUUUUAAUCUAAAUAAGUGGUUUUCCCAUAUAUAAAGUUUUUCUUUUUGUGAUUUUUUCGUCUAAGUGUGAUGUUGUGUUGUUCGUCGUCUUGUGCGGUAUUUGAUUUCGCGUAUUGUCGUUGUGUUCAUUUAGUUCCUAUUGAAAGAUCGACAUCAGUCAAUUACAAAUUCAAUCAAUGAUUUGGGCGUCAAUGUUGCAGAUUCUGAAGCAUGUGUAUUUCGGUGACUUAUAUUUUAUCAUAUUAUAUGUAGGCAUUUUUCCGUUUUAUGCUAUUAACUUGGAUGUUGUGAGUUUGUUCGCAUAUUCAUCCUUUACGUUUUUAGCGAUGUUUGUAUAUGAUGUAUCUAUCAAUUUGAAUGAAUGAAUAUCAUUUUGUUUUUGUCAACAAAAAAAAACAUAUUCUUCCUAUUCAGUUAUUUGGUAUGUAAUCACUCCCUCUGUCUCGGAUUAAGCGGGUAAUAUACUCAUUUCACACAUAUUAAGAAAAAUGUAUUGAUGAAGGAGAAAGAAAAAUGGUUUAAGUGCUUUCGUUAUGUAUUUGUGCAUUCUUCACUAUCAUACAUGCAAAAUAUAUUGAAUUGAGAGUGAUGAAAGUAAUAUUAAUUAUAGUUAUAAUUAAAAAUAAUAAUUAAUAUUGUAUUGAAAAGUGAAAUGAAUCAGUUAUUUUAUGACAAUAUUUUUUUUACAAAAGGAUCAGUUAUUAUGGAGGAGGGGUACUAUUUAGGAAUAAUUUUAUUGCCUGACGGUAUUAUAAACUUUUUCAUGAUUCCUUCUCUUUUUUAUAAUUUUUCUUAGAAUUAUAUUUAUCUUCAAAAUAUAUGUUUUAUUGCCUGAUGGUAUUAUAAACUUUUUCAUGAUUCCUUCUUUAUUAUUUGAUAAUUUAUUUCCUGAUUUAGUCCAGCCUAUAACUUUUAUCAACUUUUAAUUUAAUACAUUUGAACUAAAAUGAUGCAAUAGAGUACGCAUGUAUAAUGAAAAAUUGGUUUUUAGCAUCGACCUAGUACAUAAUCAUGGCCGACAUUCUGAGACGCAUUCAAAGAAAAAUCUUAACCUAUCAAAAAUCGAUCGACACUAACUAACAUUUAUCUCAGACCGGGCCACACCAAUGAGCUACAUUGAACAUAUAGUACUCUUUUAACUUAUUUAGUGUCUUUUUUAAGGAACUUAUUUAGUGUUUUUAUAUUGGUCUUUGAAAUAUCUCAUAUCAGGCCACAAUUGAUAGAGACGUUGUAGUAUGAAGAGUAGAUCAGAUGGAGGAUAGUUAGAUCAAAAAAUGGUAGAGAAAGACUUACAAAAAUUAGAAGAAAAACAAUUAUGAAAGAUUUAUAAGUUAUUGAGUUUGAUAGAACAUUACGACGCAAUUUAAUUCAUGCAGUCGACCUCACUUAGUGGAACAAUGCUUGGUUGUUAUUGUUGUUGUUGUGUUAUAUUUGAUACAAAUUUUAGUAAGUGUACUAAACUAUAUUGAAGUAAUAAAAUUUAUAAGAUUCGUAUCUACAAAGACUGUUUCAACUUCUACUCGAUAGUAACGUUAUUAUUAAGGGUGUUUGUAUAAUGGAGAUUGCACUAAGGCAAUUGGUUAGAUUUGCAAGUUCUGAAGUGAUUCUGACCCAGUUGUAGUGUCCAACAACAAUGAAAAUUGCUCUUUUGAGACUUUGGAUUACCCACAAGCACCUCAAACUUUUGAAAAUACCUCCAUGGAGAAUUACGAACCAUAUGUGAACGGAAGUUAGGAACUGUUUGGGACUUUGAUGCAUUUGCAACAUGCCUUUGUAGCUUUGACACUAAGAUUGCUUGUCUAUCAGGCCCCGCCUUGAGGGUGUGCAAGGUGCUCAACCAGGCGGGGCCUCCAAAUGUUACGGGCCUCUAACGAAAAAUUAAAUCUAAUACCUAUCUCCCACUUAAAUAAAAAAUAUAUAUGUUAUAUCCUUUUCUUUCUUUAGCACACGUAUGAGUUUUUUUUUUUUAGACUCUAGUUCUCUUUUUUGUACAUAAAUCGGAUCCUAUCAAACCAUUCCUAAUUUGUAUAAUCACUUAAUCAAUCAAUUUAGAAAGCUAUUUCAUUGAAAGAAUCACAACAAUCAUUUUUUUCUUCGCAUAAACCAUUCGUUUUACCCUUUUCCACAAUAGAGGAGUGACAAAUCUAAACGACACCGUUCGAUAAAUUUCACCUCUUUCACUUAAUUUUUUUUUAAUUCCUUUCAUGUUUAAAAGUUCUUCUGAUUCUGAUUUUUUUUAAUGAAAUUUAACUACACAAAAAAAUUAGUUUUUAUCUUACUAGAGACCUAUUUUAAAAAGAGAGCCGAGCCUCCUAUUUCACAGGGACGGCCCUCUUGUCUAUGAUUUAUGGAACUAACAAGCAAGUACUCAAAGUUCAAUAAGAUUGUAGUAUUUGAUUCAAUCAUUCAAUUUAACAAAAAUAAAGUUGCUCAUUGAUGUGAUGAUCGUUGAUAUUAAUGAAGGCUGACAUGUGUGACUUGUGUGCAUUAUAUUUAACAAACAUGGAAUUUAUGUUGUAUCUUUAAUGUUUUAGUUUGUAAACACCUACUUAUGCUUUUUAGCCACAAUUUGUAGACGACGACCUUAGAUGUAAUUGUUUUGCAAAUGCUUCAAAAGCUUCAAAGACAUAUUGCAUGUGCUUCGAAAUCCCAAACGGUUCCUAACUCCCGUUCAUGAGCGAAAGGUUCCUAACUCGUGUUCAAAGUUUUAAAUAACGGUCGCGGUCAAGGUCGCAGUCGCGUAUAAGAUUUUGCAAUUUCGACUCUUAUGGGUGUGGCAUACAGAUUGUAGUUGUCGUGGUGUGAAUUAAUCACAACAUUGCACAACUCUUAAAUAAUGAAACUUAAAUAACUUAAAAUAGAGAAAGAUUUAGAAUUCUAAAAUAGAUUAAGGAGAUAACUUACGUGAUUUAUGAUCAAAUAUGUACUAAAAAUAUUAUUUUCAUUUAUUUCAAUUGAAAAAAUAUCCGGAUUCUAUGUCUACUGUCAUGUUGCAGCUGUAACGACAUUUCGUCAUGAAUUUUGUUCACUCCGUAAAAACAGUAACAUCGGCUACCUAUACCUUUUUUUCGCGGUCUUUUUCUCGGUAAUGGACCAUAUUUUAAAACCUUGCUCCUGUUCACAGCCGACCGGUUCGUAAGUCUCAAUGGGGGUAUUUUCAAAAGUUUAAUAUGCUUGUGAGCAAUCCAAAGUGGCUAAAGAGAAAUUUUCAAAAACAACUACGCCCCAGCUGGUAGUAAUUUGGCUAAUUCUAAAAUGUCCCUCUAAUCAUGGGUCUGUAAGUUCUGUUUUUUGAGUUUUAAAUUAGACAACAUCAUUUCCUUUAUGCUGUGGUUCCAAGAAACUAGAGGCCUCACCCAAAGGCUACUUGAUUGACUAAUAAUUUCACCUCAUUUAAGAUCAAACUCUUUAUAAUGAUUUGCUUUUGGAUUCGACUCAUCUGAUGCAGUUCGACUAAUUUAGAUUGGCCGACCCUGAUUCGGCUGAUAAGGAAACUCGAUUGUUCGUCCAAAACGACUAAAACUAAUUUUCUGGAUGAUAACAUAAGUUUUGUCAAAAAAACAACAAGUACAAGACAUAGAUUUUUAUUAGAAAACAUACGAAACUUAUUAUUUCUACUCUUGUAAAUUACAUCACACAGAUACAAUAAAGAGGGAAAUCCAAAACAUUAUUGACAAGUGAUACAAUUAAAGCUGUGAAUCAUUCUGUGAGAUAUAUCCUGCAAUGUUUAAGGGCUUGGUUUUAGUGUAUUUCCAAUAUCAAUAACGAAUCGAUAUUUCACAUCUGCUUUCUCGAGACGCUCCAUUGCUGUGUUGACAUAAUCAAUAGGAACAACCUCAAUAUCAGGUGUUACAUUGUGUUCGGCCGCAAAAUCAAUCAUUUCUUGAGUCUCCUUUAUCCCUCCAAUCAAACUUCCAGCUACUAACUUUCUCCCUACAAAUAAUGUGAAAUUAAUACAAGUAUCAACAUUCUGCAUAAUUUGAAUUUAAAACUGCGUAUUUAGUAUUUUAGUCUUAAACUAUACUAUGGGAGUAUAUAUGGAAAUAUUUUUCAUAUGCUUACCUCCAAGUAAAGAAAAUACAGGAAGCUCUAGAGGCUUUGCCACCCCACCAACCAUUACAAGUUUUCCAUUAGAUUUCAAUAAACCAAUCAAUGGUAAGAUAGGAUGACUUGCCGAAACAGUGUCGAUAAUACCAUUCAAAGUACCCAUUGCAGCCUAUUAAAACGUUGUACAAUAUUAGUUUCUUGAUUAACAUUCUCGAUUUCUGAAAUAAUGAAAUUCGCAAAUCAAUCAAAUGAAUCAUAUACCUGCAUCUGAUCUGGAUCGCGGCUUACUAGAAACGAGUCAGCUCCUAAAUGUUCUAUCGCUUCCUUUUCUUUGCUAGGCGAUGUACUAAUUACUGUUACAUUAGCACCAAAAGCUUUGGCGAAUUUCACAGCCAUAUGACCAAGUCCACCAAGACCAACAACGCCUAUAUUCAUACCAGGCUUGUCGAGUUGAAAAUGACGAAGAGGACUAUACACUGUGACUCCAGCGCAAAGAAGAGGACCGGCAACAUCAAGAGGUAAGCUAUCAGGAAUGCGAAUCACAAAGUGCUCAUCUGCAACCAUUGAGUCGGAAUAACCUCCAUAUGUGACGCUGCCAUCACGAUACUUAGCACCACAUGUAACUGUUUGUUGGGGGCAGUAAUUCUCAAGAUCUUCCGCACAAUUUUCGCAUGAACGACAUGAAUCAACCAUGUAUCCCACUCCUACUUUGUCUCCAACUUUAAACUUUUCUACUUUGCUUCCAACCUCUGUUACAAUACCCGCAAGUUCAUGCCUGCAUUUUUUAAAUAAAUUAGUAUAAACAAAUUGAAUAAUUAUUUACUACUCAUUUCUUAAGAUUAUUUUGUACAAAUUAAAAAAUAUCUUUUAUUAAUUAUAUAAAAAUUUCAAAUAUACUCUUGCUUUUUAUUGACUCAUUCAACUUUUUACUCUCUCGUCAUUAAAGUGAGAGAGUUAUAAAUGGAGAGGAUCUUAACUCUGAUCCAAAUAACGUAGAAAUAAACUAUAAUUGUAGUAGGAGUAGGAAGCAUACCCUGGAACUAAUGGAUAGAUGGAAUUGCCCCAUUCAUUCUUCAUCAUAUGGAGAUCAGUGUGACAUAUACCACAAUACAACACCUUGAAUGCUACAUCUUUCUCACCUGUUUCCCUAAAGUUUUGAUGCAUCAAAGUUAAAUUAAUUAGUAGCUAACAACAUAGAUCUAAAUUAAGUAAAAAAACAUAUAUGUAUAUAAACAUCAAAUAUUAAUUAAAUUAAAACAUCCCAUUAAAUAAAGAUGAGUUGAUUAAUGAAGUAAACCUUCUGGAGAAAUUGAAAGGGGAAAGAACACCAGAUGAAUCUCUAGCUGCCCAACCAAAGGCCUUCUUAGGAUGUUCGAAUACUUUAGCUUCUGUUGCCAUUUCAAAUCCUUGUUAUUAUUUCAAUGAUUUGUACAAAACUUAGCUUCUGUAGUAUUUAUUGAGAAAAUAGUAUAAAGUUAUGGAAUAUUUUAGUACUAAGAUGUGGGAGGUACUUUGGAGAUAUUUAUAAUGGCUAUUUGUAUUGUGUUUACGCAUUUGAUGACGUUAUCUAUAGCGUGUUGCACAUAAUCAAAUCAUAACAUGUUAUUUUGGUCAAAGUUGUGUUUACUUUUUCUUUUGUCAUGAAAUGAAAUUCACAUGCACUUUGCUCCUUUAUCAAAUUCAAAGUAUAAGGAUAUAGUACAUUAAUAAGCGUUGCUAACGAGUCAUUUAAUAAAGACACUCAGUAGAGAUUUCUAAUUAAUAUUAUUCAUAAAAAAAAUGUAUAAUUUAAUUUCUAUUGGAUUAAAUACAUAAAUGUCUCUGUGCAUGUGAGAUUAUUUCAGUUUAGUUGGUAACGAUAAUGCAUAUAAUAUAUGCAAUGUUUGAGGUUCGAAUCCCGGACACAAAAAAAAAAAACAUAAAUGUCUCUAAAAAUUUAGGCUUACUAGCAGUUUUGGUCCCCUAGCAAAAUAAAAUACAUAACCAUCCCCUAAGUAUCGUCCCUUUUGCAGUUUUGGCCCCAUGCCAAUUUUGACCAACUCAAUGCACACGUGGACGCCACGUGUGUAAUUAUUAUUUUUUAUUAAAAAUAUAAAAUAAAAAAAUUAUUUUUUUAUAUUUAAAAAAAUUAAAUAAAUUACAUACGUGGCGUUCAUGUCAGCUUUGACUUGGUCAAAAUUGGUUUGGAGGCCAAAACUACAAAAGGGGCAAUACUUAAGGGAUGGUUUUGUAUUUUACUUUGUUAGGGGUCAAAAUUGCAACUUCUUAAAAUAUAGGGGGCCAAAACUGCUAUUAAACCAAAAAUUUAAUAUUUAAUGUUAAGUUAUUAAAUUACAGUUGUUAACAUUUUUUAUAAACAUACUGUUCCAAUCCUUUCAAAAAAAAAAAAAAAAAAGACAUAUUCCAAGUUAUAAACAUUUUCAUGAUUGCUUCUUUUUUAUUUGAUAAUUUAUUUCCUGAUUCAGUCCAGCCUAUAACAUCUUUAUCAACUUUUAAUUUAAUACAUGUGAUUUAAAAUAAUGCAAUAGCGUACGCAUGCAUGUACAAUAAAAAAUUGGCUUUAGCAUCGACAUAGUACAUAAUCAUGGCCGACAUUCUGAGACGCAUUCAUAGAAAUUUUUUAGCGUCCGUUAUCUGUCAUUUGAUGAUCUGGCCAGCACUAAAAAACGCUCCAACCUAUGAAAAAUCGAUCGACACUAACAUUUAUCCCAGACCGGGCCACACCAAUGGGUACCCCAUGAACUUAUGAGCUAAAUUGAAUAUAUAGUACUCUUUUAACUUAUUUAGUGUCUUUUUUAAGGAACUUAUUUAGUGUUUUUAUAUUGGUCUUUUAAAUAUCCCAUUUCAGGUAUAGUACUCUUUUAACUUAUUUAGUGUUUUCAUAUCUGGCCCCAACUGGUGGAGAUGAUGUAGUAUGAAAAGUAGAUCAGGUGCAGGAGAGUUAGAUAAAAAAAUGUAGAGGAAAACUUAUAAAAAUUAUUAGAGAAACAAUAUGAAAGAUUUAUAGGUUAAUAAGAUUUAUAGGUUAAUUUGAUUCAUGUGGCCAACCUCAUUUAAUGGGAUAAUGCUUUGUUUUUUUGACAAGGGGAUAAUGCUUUGUUGUUAUUGUUGUUGUGUUAUAUUGGUCCCUUAAUUAAUUAAUAUUAUGUUUAAGUACCUUAACAUUUUAGUCAAUUUGGUCUAAUUCCAUUAAAUUUUAACUUCAAUAUCGAAUAUGGACAAUCCAUAAAAGACCUCAUUAAUUUGUUAAGUUAAUUGUUUGAUCUUUUUUUUUUUUUGAAAAUUCAAUCAUUAGAUCAUACAUGUCUAGGAGUUUUUGGUUAGGGGUUUUUUUUUUUUUUUUUGACAAAUGCUAGGGGUUUUGUUUUUUUUUUUUUUUGGUUUUUCCCGGUCUUGUCGUGUGGUUUGUUUAUGUUUCGGUCGGAGUUUUUGUUUCCGAGUGUACUAAUUCUUAUUCAAGAGGAUUUCUUGUUCCAUAUGUGCUUUUGGAAAAAUGGAUGGAUGUUAAUUGUUGCUAGUUUGGAUUUAAGGAUAUUGUAUUUUUGUUGAUGUUAUUUGGUAUAUAAAGGUUGUGAAGGAUCAACUCGUGUUGUCGAAUCAAUCUUUGGUAUAAUCUUUUUUUCUGGGGUUUGCUUGGAUGAUUUUUAUGAAUAUGAUGAUGAAGAUGGAGAAUAGAAUGAGGAAAGAAGAUGAAGAAAGGUGAAGAAAAAUUAGAUGUUAGUAGUGUACUAUUAGAUCUAGUUAACUAACGAAGUCUUUGGUGGACCACUUACAAUGUGUGUGUAUCUUAGACAUUAGAGUUAAAAGUUAAUAAAAUGAGACCAACUUGACUAAUAGAUUUAAUGUUAAAGGAGAACAUAACAUUGAUUAAAUAAGGGACGAAUAUGAAAGCAUUAAAUAAGUGAAGGGAACAUAUAUCAAAUUUAGCCAUUUUUAUAUUUGCUGGUUUGAUAGGUGAUGCAUUCCUUGAUAAAUUGUUUCAUGCACAAGAAAACGCGACAAUGAGGCGAGCCGAAGUCACCCCCCUGAGGGGAACCAUGUAAUUCUGAAGCAUAACAUGUUUCAAACUUGUCAAUUGUGGAAUUAAAAUCUUAUCUUUGUCAUACAAAACCACUUGCUAGAAAACAAACAAUUAUUUGGAAUGCUGAAAUUACUAGCAAAAACUGUUACCACCAAAUGUGAAACAUAAAAGUUCUGGAGUUCAGUGAUAAUGAUAGGUUGAUAAGUUGAAAUAGCAGCAAAGAGAUGACCAACGGGUUGGCAGCGGGACAAACCAUCGACAACCACAUUUCCAUGACCUGAGAAGUAAAAUAUUUCAAAGUCGUAGCCUAGAAGUUUUGUCAAUCAUCGUUGGGUUGGGAUUUGUAUAGUUUGAUUCAUUAUGAGCCACUUCAUAAUUGCUUGGAAUUUAUCUAAGUCAAACUCAACACAUGCUUCUGAUAUAAUGUGACUGUGAUAAUUAACUUUUGAAACCAUGAAAUAAAAUUUAGAUGGUUUGGCAAAAAGUUUAUGAUUCACUAAUGUUUGCAUGACCAAUCGUAUAUGUGUCAAAAGUGAAGCCCUCAUCAUUAUUGUAUAAAAGAAUAUCGUAAAAAUAAAACAACUUAAUGUAAGAAGUCAUAGAAUAUCUCAUUCAUGGUGGUUAGAACGUUGAAGGGGUGUUAGAGAUCGCAAAAGGCAUUGCAAGGAAUAUGAAAUGCCCUUCAAUUGUUUGAAAUUGCAUCUUGAAGGUAUGUUCCGAUGCAAGAAGGAUCUAGUGGUAUCCCGUGCGUAGUUCUAGCUUAGACAAGAACUUGGAUCCAUAUAACGCAUCAUUCAGAAUCGAGAACUGAUCCUUAAUUGUGAUUUCAUAGAGGUUCUAAUAAUAAACACAAAAAAUCCAAGAGUCUUCUUUCUUCAAAACAAGAAGCACCAUAGAAGAGAAAAGGCUUGUGGUAGGUAUUCCAUUAAUUAACAUCUCUUUGAUCAUUUGUGUCAUGACCUCUUUGUGAAAUGUGGGUCGCGACAAGGGCUAAUGUCGAGUGGUGUUUCCCCUUGAGAUAAGUGGAUGUGGUGAUCCUAAUUACAAUGAGGAUAAAUCCCCAAAGAUAUGAUGAAAACCAAGGGAAACCCCUAGAGAAAAAUAGGUAUAUCUAGAGGUAGUGAGUUGGUGUCAAUGUCCUAGGGUUCCAUCGGAUUGAAGGCAGGUCAUGGGAUAAAUUUUUGUUACAAAGAGAGAAUAUAUAGUGUUCACCGAAUCACACAAAAUGAACCUUCAUAAUUGUGAAAAAGAAGAAUGGUUGUGUUUGUUGCAGUGACACCUCGAUAAUGUACUUGAUCGCUUUGAAAGACAUCAAUGUCGUCGAUUCCAAAUCAUCCACCAAGAGAAUCAUCAAUUGCUUUGCACGACAACGAUGACUAGUGAUAAAUUUGUCAUCACAGUUAAAACAAAGUUCAUUUGCUCUUGAUUUUUGAAUUUCAACGGUGGUGAGUUUUUAAAUGGGAAUUGUGGAGGGUGAUGGUGUGAAGCCAAGAACAGAGGGUGUGUGGGUGUGUUAUCAUGGUUUUUGGGUGCCAAGCCAUUAAUUGGACUUGAACCUUUUGACCGUUGAUAUCUCUCUUUUUUCUUGGGAAGGGUAAAAGGAGAAAAACCCUUGAGUUUCCAGAUUCGGGGGUCGUUUUCGCUACGGGAAGGUGUUAGGCACCCGGAGCGAUUAUGGUAUUCCAUAAGAACCGCUCUCCUAAGUUUAUUUCUACGCUUUAGUUUUAUUGCUUAUUUUUGAAAAAAGGAAGGUAUGAUUAGUGAAGAAUGGGGGGUGAGAAGAAGUAGAAUUUGAUUUUUAUUUCGGCUUGGAGGGAUUAAAGUCCCUUGCCUACGUACCCUUUUAAGGGAUCAAAACCGUUCGUAGUUCAUUCUCAAAAAUAGUUUUUGUGUUUGUUGGUUGAUUUUAGGUUUGAAAAGAGAUUUUGAAGAAUAGAGAUGAGAGGCCUCAAGGGCAUAAGGUUUGGAAAGUGUGAGGUGGAUUUAGUCAUUUUGCAAAAAUAAAGUCCAAGAAGGGUUUAAGAUUCAUUGAAAGUUUUACUUAAGAAGAUAAAAGGGGAAAUAAGGAGUUUUGACUCCAUUUUAUUUUCAAAAAAAAAGAUUUUCAAGUGAAGUUAUUUGCAUGUUCUUUUUGGAAAAAGGUUGGAUUUUUAUCUAAGUGUUCAAACCUAAACGCUUAUCUAACCAUACAAUCCUAUGCAUACAUCUAAGGUGAGUGUGUGCGUGUCGGUGCGUCAUAGUGUCCAUAGUCCAUAUUACAACAUUGCCUAAAUACAUUCUAUGGCCUCUUUGCCAAGCUACAAACCAAUGGUAAAAUAUUACAUCACCGAAUGAAUUACAAUUUGUAAAAAAAAAGAAAACUAAACUAACGGAGACAAUAGUGAAGAUAAUGAAGUGCUAUGAAGUAAUCAACAUGAAAGGAAAUGUUAGUAGAAAAUGGUAAAAAAAAGAAUAUGGCAUGAAGCGAUAGAAGAAAGUAUGGCAUAAGACGGUAAAGUGACGAUGAAAAUAAGCCGGAAACAUGUGAUGAAUAAUGCGCAUGAUGCAAGAAUAAAACUCAACACAUCAAAACAGUGACAUAUGCAUAGCAAACAGUAGCAAAAUUCACAUGGAAUAGUAUGCAAAUCAAACAUGACGAACACGAACAUUAUGCACAUGAAGUAACGGGUAGAAAUGCGAGAAAAAUGACUUAAAAUAGUAAAAACCCUUGACAAAACAACACUAAAAUUUUUAUCAACUUUUCCAAGUAAAAUACCACUGAAAAUUAUCAAGAAAAAUAGUAAAAUGACAUAGUAAAUUUCUUGGAAUUUAUUGAUAAAAAUUAACAUGAACAAAGGGUGCAAACAGCAGGCAAGUAUGGUGCAAGUAGCAAAAAAGCAAAAAACGUGAAAGCAGACUAGGCCCAAACCCAAAGCCCAAAACUACAAGGUCCGGAUGCACAGGAGCCACACGAUUGAUCCAGGGUCCUGAAACCCUAGAUCAAACGGCCAGGAAUCAAAGGGGAAUGGACCGGUUCUGGACCGGUCCGGUUCACUGGCUAUAAAAGUGAAGGGGGACCGGUUUAAAUCAUUUUCCACUUUCCUUUCUCUCUCUAAGUUCUUCUCUCUUCUCUCAUCUCCUACCUCUCUCUAACCUCGCCGCCGGCGAGGAUGAAGCUACGGCGGAGACCUUGAAGGUCCGCCGGAAACUUCAUCUUCUCCGGCGAGUUCAUGCAGUUUCCGGUGACCUAAAUUUCCAGAUUUCAAAGAUUCUUACUUCUUUUGAUUCGUCCUUUAACCCUAAACACGAAUCCAGCAGCUGUUUUUUCAAAUACGGUUUGAAACGACGUAGAUCUAAAAAGUUCCGUACGGUUUUGAAACUGAUUUUUGAUUUUUUUGAAAAGAAAUGUUUAGAUCGUUUAAAGAUCUACAUCGUUUCGUUGUUUGAUUACGCUUCUAGUACUCGUUCUUGCUUUCAAAACUUAGAUCCUUAUGGAUCUAGGUUUCGUGUUUACGGUUACGGUUUUCUUUGAAUUCUGGAAAUUUUUUGAUAUGCUUUGCUCGCGUGAUUGUUUACAGGUUUAAACUAUGAUUAACACUUUUGAAAAGAGAUUAUGAGUUUUACCUAAGGUUUUGGUUGAAACCUUGAAUGGAGGAAAUCUUUGGAAAACUUUGAUUCUGUUCUUGAUGAUUCUUGAUUCUUCUGCUUGCUUCACCGGUCCAGAUUCUGCAGAUUCUGCUUCUUUCCUUCUUCUUUUCAAACUCUCAAAUCCUUCGUGAUCAGUGCUGGAGUUCGCCAAUGGCGAAUUCUCACUUUGAAUUGCGAAGGAAAUCAAUUCGGUGAUGAAGAUUUGAUGCAGAAUCUCUGAGAAUUGUGAGGAAUCUUGAUGAUUCUGCACUGAUUUGUGGUUCUUUUGUUGAUUUGAGUUGAUUUGGGGUUGGUUCAGAAACGGUUAGGGUUUGAAUGUUCUUGGUGUUCUUGAGAAAUUUUGAGAGAUUUUCUGUUUUGAUUCAAUAGCUGAGAAAGAGAAAAUUGAGUUUGUGUUUAUGAGUUGGCGAGUGAUUAAUGGCUUUGAAUCUGACUCACUGUUUAUAUAGUUGACAUGUGUACACUUGAGCCAAUGGAAUUGUGACAUCUGGAUUUGUAUGGGAGGGGCACGGCCUUGGACUUAAAAUGGACUUUGGACCUUUCUGCAAAAAAUAAAACUUCAAGGACUAAACUGCAAAUAAUCCAAAAAGGACUGAAAUGUAAAAAAAAGAAAAUUCUGGACUGACACGCAAUUUUGGACCUCUUUGGGGACCAAAAUGUAAAAUAAAAAUAAAAUUGGAAUAAAAUUGACAACCUGACAAAACGUAAAGUGAAACUAAAAUAAAAUUGACAAAACGGACUAAAACGAACCAAUGACCUAAAUGAGGUACUUCAAAGUAACCUCUCUAUGCCAAAAUUUUGUGGGAAAUGACCAAAAUGCCCCUGGGGCUAAAAACGACCUAAACAGAUUUAAAUUGACCCGACACUGACUCAGACGCAAGUUUGAAAUGAAUUUUAACAAGGUUUACUGAUGAAAUGUUUAAAAAUAAUCUGAAAAGGCUCAGAGACAGUCACAAGGAUGAAAAUGGGUCCCACUGCAGGAAAUGACCAAAAUACCCUUCUGUAUGAUUUUUUUGCGAAUUUUGAAAUAAACUGUAGAAAAAGCAAUGUAAUGAUUCAGAGACACUUUUGAAUGACUUACAAGACAAGUAAAGACAUUUCAAAAGGUUUUAUGCAAGAAAAACAUAGGUGAAAUUGUGAUUGAAAACACCGCGAAGCAGAGACAAUUUGAACUGUACAGUUGAAAUUUGAUAAUUGACAAAGUUUGAAAUGAAAUUGGGCCCAGUAUUUUUAGGUCCAAAAACGGGGUAUAACAGCUGCCCCUAUUUAAGUUUCUUUGUCUGGAGAGUCAAGAGACGGAAUCUUUGGCUUGACAGGACGAAGAUACUUAAAUAUUAGCAUUUGCGCUGUGUUUGGACGUAAAAAUACGCCUACCCAUUUUCAAAUAAUAUGCAUGCCAUGCAUCAUUUGGAUUAUGAAUGCAAGACCUCAUGGGGAUUGGAAUUAACAAAACAUGUCGUAUCCAUUGCGGGAUUGGUAGACAUUGACAAAGAUAGUGAAUAUCAGAGUAACGGGAAACUAGAAACGAGUUGGACAGGUACAAGCUGUUCCUGGAUUCGAACUAGCCACUUGACCGGGGAUGAAACAAACAGACAACUGCGAGUUGUUCUUAUGGAUUUGAACUGGUAACUUCACAGGGGAUAGAGGUUACUGGACAAACAUGAGUUGUUCUUAUGGAUUUGAACUGGUAACUCACUUGGGGAUAUUGGAAAGUGCGAGUUGUUCUUAUGGAUUCGAACUGGUGACUCGACUGGAAAAAGGGAAAAUUGACAAGUACGAGUUGUUCUUAUGGAUUCGAACUGGUGACUCGACUGAAAACAUGUAAAAUUGGCAGGUACGAGUUGUUCUUAAGGAUUCGAACUGGUUACUCGACUGAAAGCAAGGCAAAUAGACAGGUGCGAGCUUGUUCUUGGAUGCGAACUGGUUACUCCACCGGGGACAAAUACAAAAUAAACAGGCGCAAGCUGCUCUUGGAUCGAGCUAGCCACUUGAGCGAACAGAAACAGAUAGACGGGUACAAGCUGUUCUUGGACUUGAACUAGGCACUCGACCGAUAACAUAAGCAAAAUGAUAGGUACAAGCUGGUCUUGGACGUGAACUAGCCACUUGACCAAACAUGAACAUAUUCACUGGGGAUUGGUUUGUUCUUUUGACAAAAUAUAGAUUGAGAUUGACUUGACGUCGAUUUGAAUUGAAAGGUAGAAAUUGACCGAUAUUAUUGGCUCACAAGGUUUUGACAGAGAACCUGACAUGAGUAUCGAAUUGAGACUGAUGUUGACAUUGGAAAUGCAAUAUGCACGGAUGAUAUAACAGUUUCAUUAAAUGCAUGGGCACGUAAUAUGCAUGAUUAUGCAUGUAUGAAUGCUUGUAAUGCAUGACUGUUGGCAUUUUGUAGGCACGACUUCACGGGGAAGACAAGACAUCAGAGUAUUGGGCACGUAGUGGCUCGUGCUAUAUUACACAUUCUUGGAAAUCCUCUUUGGAGAUGACGUCAUUGGGAGACGUAUCAGAGCCAAGGCUGAGGGCUGGUAGGUAUGCAACUUGCUGGGGAUAGAAUCUUGAGAGACUCCACCGGGGAAAACGCCGUUGUGCUGGGCAUUUCAGCGUUGGGUAUGUUGUAGACAUUGCAUCUGUGGUCAAUGCUUUUUGCAUGUUAUUUUCUCAAUUUCAUUUUUCAUUUUUUGCAUCCCAUUUUUGCCUGGAUUGCCCUUUCGGGUUUUCGAUCCACCGGGGAAAUAAAUUCUUUUCAAUGCCCCAUUUUUGCCUGAACUGCCCUUUCGGGUUGUCAAUCCAGCGGGGUGCUCAUUUUUGCCUAAGUCGUCCUUUCGGGUUUUCAACUUAGCGAGCUCAUUUAUUUUCAUGCAUUUUUAUUCUGUUUUUUUUUUCAUUCUUGCCAUUGACCACAGACUAUCCUGGAGGAGAACCUGCUUGUAAUAUAUAUUGAAAUAGACAUCAACAUACUCUCGCUCAUGCAUGUUUCAUUUGAAUGUACCCUGUUGCUCAGGUUUGCUUUUCAAAAUAGACAAAAAGUUUUCAAUUUUCAAAAAAAAUGUUUGUUUCAAGCGUUGCCAUUAUCAAAAUAGAAAGAAAAAUGUUUUGUAUAUAGCUUUGAAAGUAGAAGAAAAAAUAGAGUUUCAAACAAAAGCACAAGCUCAAAUUGAUGUAUAAGAGUGGUGGUCAGCCGAAGGCGUGACUCCACGGAUUCACAAAGCUUGGAAAAUGGUAAUUUUUAUUGGUUGGUGGUACAUUGAACACAGCAAUCAUUACAUUUCCUGAAAACUUUGAAUUCGCAAGCAUAGGAGCUUUUGAUUGAAGAUAGUCAUUAACAGCUGCAGAUGCCCCAAGGGAGACGGUGGUUGGCCAGAUAUAGUUACUUGCCUUUUGUUUCAAUCUCAUUUUUGCAUGAACCGCCCUUCCGGGUUUUCGGCUCAUCGAGACGCUCAUUCUUGCCUGAGUUGUGUACAAUCUCAGCGAGCUUUUCAUAUUUGUUUUUUUUUGUCCCUUAUUUUUGCCUGGACCGCCCUUUCGGGUUUUCGAUCCACCGGGAAGCGCAUUUUUGCCUAGGCCGCCCUUUCGGGUUUUCGACCUACCACGCUGUUCUUUUCAUAUUUCUAGGCAAAGUAUUUCUUGACUAUAUCAGCAUUCACUGGAUUUGGAAGUUCUACACCAUCCAUGUGUGUAAGGAUUAAAGCACCACCGGAGAAGGCCUUCUUGACAACAUAAGGACCUUCAUAGUUAGGCGUCCACUUGCCCCUUGGGUCGGGUUGCUGGCUUAUCCUCCUUUUCAAUACCAGUUCCCCUACCUUGAAUUCUCGAGGAUGGACUUUCUUGUCAAAAGCAGUCUUCAUUCUUGCUUGAUAUGACUGUCCACGAGCCAUGGCAUCCAUACGUUUUUCCUCAAUCAAAUUCAACUGAUCAUACCGGCUUUGGCACCAUUCAGCCUCAGAUAACUUUGCUUCCGUGAUCACACGGAGAGACGGGAUCUCCACUUCCAAAGGAAGAACUGCUUCCAUACCAUAUACAAGAGAGAAAGGGGUUGCCUCGGUUGAACUGCGCACUGUAGUACGGUAGCCAUGCAGAGCAUAGGGUAACAUCUCAUGCCAGUCCUUGUAAGUGGUUACCAUCUUCUGGACAAUUCUCUUGAUAUUCUUGUUGGCGGCCUCAACUGCACCAUUCAUCUGAGGUCUAUAGGGAGAAGAGUUAUGAUGCUCAAUUUUGAAUUCUUCACAAAGAGCUUGCACCACAUUGUUAUUCAGGUUGGUACCAUUGUCGGUAAUAAUCUUGCUGGGAACACCAUAUCGACAGAUGAUGUUGUUCUUGAUGAACUUAGCUACCACUUGCUUGGUCACAUUGGUAUAAGAUGCUGCUUCAACCCACUUGGUGAAGUAGUCAAUUGCCACUAAGAUGAAACGAUGACCAUUUGAAGCCUUCGGUUCAAUUCUUCCAAUCAUGUCGAUGCCCCACAUUGAGAACGGCCAUGGGGAUGAAAUAACAUUGAGAGCGUGCGGAGGCACAUGAAUCUUAUCAGCAUAGAUUUGACAUUUAUGGCACUUUCUGGCGUACUGGUAGCAAUCAUGCUCCAUGGCCAUCCAGUAGUAACCUGCUCGUAACAACUUCCUUGACAUAGUAUGCCCUGUAGCAUGGGUCCCGAAGGUACCGUCAUGUACAUCAUGCAUUAACUGCUCUGCUUCAUGUUCAUCAACACAUCUUAACAAUACCAUGUCAUAGUUUCUCUUGUACAGAACAUCUCCAUCUAACAGGAAUCUACUGGCCAAUCUUCUCAAGGUCUUCUUGUCUUGCUUGGAAGCACCCGGCGGAUACUCACGGCUCAGCAAGAACUGUUUGAUGUCGUAGUACCAGGGUCUAUAGUCAACCACAUUUUCACCAGCCUGAUCGAUCACAUCCCCAAUAGCAAACAAAUGCGAAGGUCUUUCAAGGCGUUGCACUUUGAUUAUUGGCACAUCAUUCCAAUGGUUUACUCGAAACAUGGAGGACAGAGUAGCAAGAGCAUCAGCCAUUUGAUUCUCAUCACGAGGAAUAUGGUGCAGCUCAACCUUUGUAAAAUAUGUCAGCAAACGUCUCGCAUAAUCCCGAUAAGGAAUCAACUUAGCAUGGUGGGUCUCCCAUUCACCCUUUAUCUGAUUGAUGACGAGCGCAGAAUCUCCAUAGAUGUCGAGGUGUUUGAUUCUCAUGUCAAUUGCUUCCUCGAUCCCAAAGAUACAUGCUUCAUACUCAGCCAUAUUGUUGGUACAUUCGAACAAGAUUCUGGCGGUAAAAGGAAUGUGAUGCCCCUGCGGGGAUACAAUGACUGCCCCAAUUCCCUUACCAUAAGCAUUGACAGCACCAUCAAAGACUAAACCCCACUUGCUAUUGGGAUCUGGACCUUCAUUAAUCAACGGUUCUUCGCAGUCUUUGGAUUUCAGAUACAUGAUCUCUUCAUCGGGGAAGUCGAAUUCAAUUGGUUGGUAAUCAUCAAGAGGUUGGUAAGCAAGAUGAUCGGCAAGAAUGCUACCUUUGAUUGCCUUUUGAGUUUUGAACACGAUAUCAUAUUCAGACAAAAGCAUCUGCCAGCGUGCAAUCUUCCCAGUGACAGCAGCUUUCUCAAAGAUAUACUUUAUCGGAUCCAUUCUGGAUAUCAACCAAGUCGUAUGAUUUACCAAAUAAUGACGCAGGCGUUUAGCGGCCCAGGCCAAAGCACAACAAGUCUUCUCAAGCAUUGUAUACCGAGUUUCACAAUCGGUGAACUUCUUGCUUAGAUAGUAGAUAGCAUGUUCUUUCUUUCCAGUCUCAUCUUGUUGACCAAGUACGCAUCCCAUGGAUUCAUCAAAUACUGCCAAAUACAUAAUCAAAGGCCUUCCUUCCACGGGUGGGACAAGGAUAGGUGGUUCCAGCAGGUAAUUCUUGAUGCUAUCAAAAGCUUCCUGGCAUUCAUCGUUCCAUACAAUAGGCUGAUUGUUGCUCAAGCAGUCGAGUGAUCUCAUAUGGUAUAUCAUCAUCCUCUUCAUCUUCGGCUUCAUACACAGGGAAUUCAAAAUUUGGAGGAACCGUAGGAUUACUGUGUUCAACGGGUUUAUUAUGGUUCAAACUGCAUAGAAUGGUUGAAUGAUUUUAGAAAAAGGGUUUUUAUGCAGAUUUUUGAAAUUAAUAAGAAAAAUACAGAUGUUUUGGUUUUUUCUGGCAUUACCAUUAUUUCCAAGGAAAAAAGCACUAAAAAAAGUCGUGAAAGAAACGACAAUUUUUACGGCGAUGCCGAAACAAACAUGCCCUUACAGAAAAUAUCACUGUCGCUUCGGGCAGAGCGAGAGGAUUGUUAUUUUUGAAAAACAAAACACUUAAGCAACAAGACACAUUACUCGGAAACAUGCAUGAUUGAAGGAAUGAUGAUGGCAUCCCAAUUUCUCGCAAUGCCUCCUGGUAUAACAAACAUAGGCCUAGGAUCAAAUCCAGUCGCCUUUUCAGUAAUUGCAUUGACAAACUCAGCACUGUAGAAGGUUCCUGUGGAGACUCCUGAAGUUGGGGAAUAUCCGAGACCCUCUUUAUGCUUAUUCUCAAGGAGUUGUAUUAACUUGCCCCAGCCGGCAGCUUGUCCUUCUUGGAUGUCAUUGACAGUCAGAUAAUUGUCGUUCAUCAGUCUCUGGAUGUCAUUCUGAACAACGUAGCAACCCCAAGGAUUAUGGAAGCAUUCUGGGCAACUGGCAUGAUCAUGGUCAAACAGAAAGGCUUGGCAUAACUCGAUGUGUAGAGGCACCAGAGGAGUUGCAACGUUACAAACGUCCGAUCUGGGAGCUUCCUCAUAUACCUCAAUCAUGUUUACAGCAGCGUGAUUCAGAAGAGGAUUGUCGACGACAUGAGGGACGUUAUUCUCAAAGGUCAAUUUUCCUUGGUCUAUGAGUUUUUUUACAAUGUACCUCAACGCGUAGCAUCCUUCGACAUCAUGACCCAUAGCACCUUGAUGGAAAUCACACUUGAGGUCCGAACGGAACUUGGGAGGCGAUGGAUCAGGUGGAGGCUUGCCCUGUCUGGUUGUGCAGUGCCCUUUGAGAAGUAGAGUCGGGAGUAAUUUAGCAUAUAACAUUGGUAUCAGAGGAAAGGUAGGUCUAGCCUGUUGCUGCUGUCGUUGUUGAGCUGGAGGCUGUUGUUGCAUUCGCUGGACGACGGCAUUAACGGGUACCUGAGGUUGACCCGAUGGCAAAGGAUACUGAUGAUAGAAUGGUGGAAAGAAGGGAUGCUGAGAGUAUUGCGCAUACGUGUACGACGGAGGUAGCUGAGCAGCAUUGAUGUCCAUGACCUGGAACGUGAUCAGAAAGGUUUCGGGACAGAUAGUUAUUGGCAGAUCUAUCUCCCCAAGAAUGUUCUUACGGGAUCCGUCGAAGGCUUUAACCAGAAAGGUGCUCAUUCCCAAGGGAGUUCCCCGAUAGCUCAAUCGAUCCAGAGUGGCCGUUGUCUGAGGCAAGGUGGUAUUGACAGAGACAUGGUUCUUCCCAGGAAUCUGGCCAUUAUUGACAGUACCAGAAACGCCAGCUGCAGUACUGGGAGUGAAGAACGGUGGAAGCCCAUACGGAAACCCAGCUGUCAUAGCAAAGCGAGCGUCUGCAGAUGUGGUUGGGAGCACGCUUGUAGUCACCGAUGCAGCUGUGGCUAUAGGGAUAGCCGUAGCUGAUUGUUCUUGAGCGGCUAGCAGAGCAGUCAUGACAUCAUUAGCUUUAGCCAAUUCCUCCCUUAGAGUGGCUAACUCGGUACGGAGCUGAGCGUUCUCUUCUUCCAUAGCCUUUUUCCUUCUUCUGUACUCUCUGGUUCGAUUGAUUCUAUCAGGUUCGUAGACCUUCUGAGCACGAGCCACUUUUCAAACUGUGGCAGAGGAACCAGGAAGUAGUGAGCAAUUGGAAGCCUUUGUGACCGAUGUAUGAUGCAUAUGAUGCAUGAUAUGCAGAUGCAAAUGCAAAAACGACUCUUUUUAAUGUCAUCGAAGGACUUUUUAAACAAAUUCGAAACAUUGUAAACACUGUUAAACAAGCAAAAUAAGGUUUUACAAUGGUAAACUUAUGAAUACAAGUUCACACCUGCGGUGUCUUACAAUGUUUCGAUCUGUCUAAAAAAAUCUUCGAUGUAUGCGUGAAAAAAAACUUAUGCAUGAAUGCAUGUAUGCAUGGUUGUUUUGUUUAGUUACAAAGAACAAGGUGGGUUGAGAUUCAAAGUAACAGGGCCACGGAUGGACACGGCAUCCGGUGAACUAAGGCUUUGGAUAGUAGUAACCAAGGUUCUAACACAGUUCCCAAACUGCAACCUCUCUCACAUAUAUCAUGGUAGUACAGGACGACACCCGUUCCAUGAUUAUUUGUGAGAAGGUCUAGUUUGAGUGUAGUAUCGCGUGACGACUAAAGUUUGAGACAACACUCAAUUUAGCCACCGCACUACGUCCUAAAAAGGCUAGGAUGGGUUUGGUAACUACGGUUCAUAGCUUCGUCGAACAAUUGAAAGUGAAGUGCCUAAGCAUGACAACACACGCCGACAAUAUCACCUUCAAAAUGCCUCAGCUAUGUGAGAUUGAUCGCAUAAUCCAAUACACGAGGCAACCCCCGGAUCGAAUUGUCGAUUAUAUCUCUACCUAAACAUAAGUUCACUCAGCCCGGGUAUAGGACUUUUGAUAUUCUCACCCCACACAUCAAAUGAAAGUAAACAAGUAUUCACAUAUGUAAGCAAUAAAACAAAGCGUAAAUAUAAAUUAAGGAAAGCUAGGCGUGACCCGCUAAAAAAGUUCCCCAGUGAAGUCGCCAUUUCUGUUAUCAUGGUUUUUGGGUGCCAAGCCAUUAAUUGGACUUGAACCUUUUGACCGUUGAUAUCUCUCUUUUUUCUUGGGAAGGGUAAAAGGAGAAAAACCCUUGAGUUUCCAGAUUCGGGGGUCGUUUUCGCUACGGGAAGGUGUUAGGCACCCGGAGCGAUUAUGGUAUUCCAUAAGAACCGCUCUCCUAAGUUUAUUUCUACGCUUUAGUUUUAUUGCUUAUUUUUGAAAAAAGGAAGGUAUGAUUAGUGUAGAAUGGGGGGUGAGAAGAAGUAGAAUUUGAUUUUUAUUUCGGCUUGGAGGGAUUAAAGUCCCUUGCCUACGUACCCUUUUAAGGGAUCAAAACCGUUCGUAGUUCAUUCUCAAAAAUAGUUUUUGUGUUUGUUGGUUGAUUUUAGGUUUGAAAAGAGAUUUUGAAGAAUAGAGAUGAGAGGCCUCAAGGGCAUAAGGUUUGGAAAGUGUGAGGUGGAUUUAGUCAUUUUGCAAAAAUAAAGUCCAAGAAGGGUUUAAGAUUCAUUGAAAGUUUUACUUAAGAAGAUAAAAGGGGAAAUAAGGAGUUUUGACUCCAUUUUAUUUUCAAAAAAAAAGAUUUUCAAGUGAAGUUAUUUGCAUGUUCUUUUUGGAAAAAGGUUGGAUUUUUAUCUAAGUGUUCAAACCUAAACGCUUAUCUAACCAUACAAUCCUAUGCAUACAUCUAAGGUGAGUGUGUGCGUGUCGGUGCGUCAUAGUGUCCAUAGUCCAUAUUACAACAUUGCCUAAAUACAUUCUAUGGCCUCUUUGCCAAGCUACAAACCAAUGGUAAAAUAUUACAUCACCGAAUGAAUUACAAUUUGUAAAAAAAAAGAAAACUAAACUAACGGAGACAAUAGUGAAGAUAAUGAAGUGCUAUGAAGUAAUCAACAUGAAAGGAAAUGUUAGUAGAAAAUGGUAAAAAAAAGAAUAUGGCAUGAAGCGAUAGAAGAAAGUAUGGCAUAAGACGGUAAAGUGACGAUGAAAAUAAGCCGGAAACAUGUGAUGAAUAAUGCGCAUGAUGCAAGAAUAAAACUCAACACAUCAAAACAGUGACAUAUGCAUAGCAAACAGUAGCAAAAUUCACAUGGAAUAGUAUGCAAAUCAAACAUGACGAACACGAACAUUAUGCACAUGAAGUAACGGGUAGAAAUGCGAGAAAAAUGACUUAAAAUAGUAAAAACCCUUGACAAAACAACACUAAAAUUUUUAUCAACUUUUCCAAGUAAAAUACCACUGAAAAUUAUCAAGAAAAAUAGUAAAAUGACAUAGUAAAUUUCUUGGAAUUUAUUGAUAAAAAUUAACAUGAACAAAGGGUGCAAACAGCAGGCAAGUAUGGUGCAAGUAGCAAAAAAGCAAAAAACGUGAAAGCAGACUAGGCCCAAACCCAAAGCCCAAAACUACAAGGUCCGGAUGCACAGGAGCCACACGAUUGAUCCAGGGUCCUGAAACCCUAGAUCAAACGGCCAGGAAUCAAAGGGGAAUGGACCGGUUCUGGACCGGUCCGGUUCACUGGCUAUAAAAGUGAAGGGGGACCGGUUUAAAUCAUUUUCCACUUUCCUUUCUCUCUCUAAGUUCUUCUCUCUUCUCUCAUCUCCUACCUCUCUCUAACCUCGCCGCCGGCGAGGAUGAAGCUACGGCGGAGACCUUGAAGGUCCGCCGGAAACUUCAUCUUCUCCGGCGAGUUCAUGCAGUUUCCGGUGACCUAAAUUUCCAGAUUUCAAAGAUUCUUACUUCUUUUGAUUCGUCCUUUAACCCUAAACACGAAUCCAGCAGCUGUUUUUUCAAAUACGGUUUGAAACGACGUAGAUCUAAAAAGUUCCGUACGGUUUUGAAACUGAUUUUUGAUUUUUUUGAAAAGAAAUGUUUAGAUCGUUUAAAGAUCUACAUCGUUUCGUUGUUUGAUUACGCUUCUAGUACUCGUUCUUGCUUUCAAAACUUAGAUCCUUAUGGAUCUAGGUUUCGUGUUUACGGUUACGGUUUUCUUUGAAUUCUGGAAAUUUUUUGAUAUGCUUUGCUCGCGUGAUUGUUUACAGGUUUAAACUAUGAUUAACACUUUUGAAAAGAGAUUAUGAGUUUUACCUAAGGUUUUGGUUGAAACCUUGAAUGGAGGAAAUCUUUGGAAAACUUUGAUUCUGUUCUUGAUGAUUCUUGAUUCUUCUGCUUGCUUCACCGGUCCAGAUUCUGCAGAUUCUGCUUCUUUCCUUCUUCUUUUCAAACUCUCAAAUCCUUCGUGAUCAGUGCUGGAGUUCGCCAAUGGCGAAUUCUCACUUUGAAUUGCGAAGGAAAUCAAUUCGGUGAUGAAGAUUUGAUGCAGAAUCUCUGAGAAUUGUGAGGAAUCUUGAUGAUUCUGCACUGAUUUGUGGUUCUUUUGUUGAUUUGAGUUGAUUUGGGGUUGGUUCAGAAACGGUUAGGGUUUGAAUGUUCUUGGUGUUCUUGAGAAAUUUUGAGAGAUUUUCUGUUUUGAUUCAAUAGCUGAGAAAGAGAAAAUUGAGUUUGUGUUUAUGAGUUGGCGAGUGAUUAAUGGCUUUGAAUCUGACUCACUGUUUAUAUAGUUGACAUGUGUACACUUGAGCCAAUGGAAUUGUGACAUCUGGAUUUGUAUGGGAGGGGCACGGCCUUGGACUUAAAAUGGACUUUGGACCUUUCUGCAAAAAAUAAAACUUCAAGGACUAAACUGCAAAUAAUCCAAAAAGGACUGAAAUGUAAAAAAAAGAAAAUUCUGGACUGACACGCAAUUUUGGACCUCUUUGGGGACCAAAAUGUAAAAUAAAAAUAAAAUUGGAAUAAAAUUGACAACCUGACAAAACGUAAAGUGAAACUAAAAUAAAAUUGACAAAACGGACUAAAACGAACCAAUGACCUAAAUGAGGUACUUCAAAGUAACCUCUCUAUGCCAAAAUUUUGUGGGAAAUGACCAAAAUGCCCCUGGGGCUAAAAACGACCUAAACAGAUUUAAAUUGACCCGACACUGACUCAGACGCAAGUUUGAAAUGAAUUUUAACAAGGUUUACUGAUGAAAUGUUUAAAAAUAAUCUGAAAAGGCUCAGAGACAGUCACAAGGAUGAAAAUGGGUCCCACUGCAGGAAAUGACCAAAAUACCCUUCUGUAUGAUUUUUUUGCGAAUUUUGAAAUAAACUGUAGAAAAAGCAAUGUAAUGAUUCAGAGACACUUUUGAAUGACUUACAAGACAAGUAAAGACAUUUCAAAAGGUUUUAUGCAAGAAAAACAUAGGUGAAAUUGUGAUUGAAAACACCGCGAAGCAGAGACAAUUUGAACUGUACAGUUGAAAUUUGAUAAUUGACAAAGUUUGAAAUGAAAUUGGGCCCAGUAUUUUUAGGUCCAAAAACGGGGUAUAACAGGGUGGAAUAAAGGGUAAGACUAAUAUUUCUGGGAAAUUAGGAUUUCAGGUCGAUAAAUUAUGCCUCGACAAGUUUUUCCAUUGUGAUGGUGUCGUGAAGUGUACGAGUUUAACAAGGUGGCGUCAUGGUUACUUCAGCAACUGACGAUACUUUGAGUGGAUUUAAAUUAAAUGUGUAAAAUAUUAGUAUGUAAGUUAAAGUUGCGAGGUUCAAUAUGAAUUAUUUAGAGUUACAUUAUUAAAACAACAAAAAACGAGUGAGUUGCUUCAAAAUGAUGCUGCUAAAUGAAACCCACAAAAUAACUUUGGAGUGUGAUCGCCAUUGGAGUUGCUCUAACGCUAUUAUAUUUAGGAUGCAAACAAAUUUUUGUUAAAAAUAACAUGAUUCACCAUAAGUACAAAACAUAGAUUUUUAUCAUAAUGCACUCGAUGCUUAUUUUUUUUUUAUGCACUAGAAAAUUACAUCACACAAAUACAACAGAGGGAAAUCUAAAAUACCAUUGGCAAGUGCGUGAUACACUUAAACUAUACGUUUUUAUUAUUAUUUGUUUAUCUAUGAAUCAUUCUGAGAAUAUAUAUCCUGCAAUGUUUAAGGGCUUGGUUUUAGUGAAUUUCCAAUAUCAAUCACGAAUCGAUAUUUGACAUCUCCUUUAACAAGACGCUCCAUUGCGGUGUUGACAUAAUCAAUAGGAACAACCUCAAUCUCAGGCGUUACAUUGUGUUUAGCAGCAAAAUCAAUCAUUUCUUGAGUCUCUUUUAUCCCUCCAAUUAAACUUCCAGCUAUUGACUUUCUCCCUACAAAUAAUGUGAAAUUAGCAUUUUGUGCUAAACCAUUUUUGGAAUGUAUAUAUGCAAGUAUUUUUCAUAUGCUUACCUCCAAGUAAAGAAAAUAUAGGAAGUUCUAGAGGCUUUGCUACUGCACCAACCAUUACCAGCUUUCCAUUAGAUUUCAAUAAACCAAUCAAUGGUACAACAGGAUGACUCGCCGAAACUGUGUCAAUAAUGCCAUUCAAAGUACUCGUUGCAGCCUAUAAAAUGUUGUACAUUAUUAGUUUCUUGAUUAAUUAACAUUAUCAAUUUCUGAAAUAAUGAAAAUUCAGAAAUUAAUCAAAUGAAUCAUAUACCUGCAUCUGUUCUGGAUCGCGGCUUACUAGAAACGAGUCUGCUCCUAAGUGUUCUAUUGCUUCCUUUUCCUUUUUAGGCGACGUACUAAUUACGGUCACUUUAGCACCAAAAGCUUUAGCAAAUUUCACAGCCAUAUGACCAAGUCCACCAAGACCAACAACUCCUAUAUUCAUACCAGGCUUGUCGAGUCCAAAAUGUCGAAGAGGACUAUACACUGUGACUCCAGCGCAAAGAAGAGGACCGGCACCAUCAAGAGGUAAGCUAUCAGGAAUGCGAAUCACAAAGUGCUCGUCUGCAACCAUUGAGUCGGAGAAACCUCCAUAGGUGAUAGUGCCAUCACGAGACUUACCAUUGAAUGUUUGAGUAUAUUUGGUGCAGUAAUUCUCAAUAUCGUCGGCACAAUUUUCGCAAGAACGAC
rnacentral:lncRNA from 1 species